AGAUUCUUUAGAAAUCAGUGGG
rnacentral:miRNA from 1 species